rnacentral:rRNA from 3 species
GGAUUCCCUAGUAGCGGCGAGCGAAGCGGGAAGAGCUCAAAUUUAUAAUCUGGCACCUUCGGUGUCCGAGUUGUAAUCUCUAGAAGUGUUUUCCGCGUUGGACCGCACACAAGUCUGUUGGAAUACAGCGGCAUAGUGGUGAAACCCCCGUAUAUGGUGCGGACGCCCAGCGCUUUGUGAUACACUUUCAAUGAGUCGAGUUGUUUGGGAAUGCAGCUCAAAUUGGGUGGUAAAUUCCAUCUAAAGCUAAAUAUUGGCGAGAGACCGAUAGCGAACAAGUACCGUGAGGGAAAGAUGAAAAGCACUUUGGAAAGAGAGUUAACAGUACGUGAAAUUGUUGGAAGGGAAACGCUUGAAGUCAGACUUGCUUGCCGGAGCUUGCUUCGGUUUGCAGGCCAGCAUCAGUUUUCCGGGGUGGAUAAUGACGGUUUGAAGGUAGCAGUCUCGGCUGUGUUAUAGCUUUCCGUUGGAUACAUCCUGGGGGACUGAGGAACGCAGCGUGCUUUUUGCGAAAGACUCGUCUUUUUCACGCUUAGGAUGCUGGUGGAAUGGCUUUAAACGACCCGUCUUG